rnacentral:lncRNA from 1 species
UAAAUUCCCUGUGUCGAUACCAGAUCAGUUUGACAAGUUUGGUCAAUAGUUUUCUAGUGAAACAAUUACACAACAUGAUGACAGGUGGUGGAACUAACGUGUUUGUAGAGGAGACUAAAGAUGAUGUCAUAAGGAAAACAGGUCUUACCUAUGUUGAUGAUCUCAUAGCCCUCCUCCUCUCUCUGAUACAUUCUCUGUCUUUUUGAGGUUCCUCUUCUCCCACUUCCUAUUCACCCAGUGCUUUCCUUCUGAUACUUUUAUUGGCUGGGGAGAGGUCCUCCUUGUCGUCCUCCUUCUCUUCAGGGUUCUUCUCCUCCUCUUCAGGCUUCUCUAACUCACCCCUCUUGUAAUUCUCAAUCUUCCUUCUUUCCUCUUCUGCCAUCUCCUGCCUCUUUUUUGCCUCUGUCAUCUUCUCUCUUUCUCUGAUUAUAGCUGUGUGGCCUUCAAUUGCUUUCUUUCUCUGAUUAAAGCUCUCUCUCUUCCUCAUUUGCCUCUCCUCUGUCAGUUUCAAUCUCAUGUUUUUUAUCCUGCUCUUCUUGUCGUCGUACCCUCUUAGAUCUGUAGUUUUUAUCCUGCGCUUCUUGUUGUUGUACCCUCUCCAGCUGUCUGUCCAUCGCUAACAGUCUUUCUUCCUGCUGAUUUGUUGUUCUUUUUCUAUCCGUUCUCUUUCCCCCUACAAUAUUUCUAGCCUCCUCUCUUUAAGCCUAUUGAGCCGUUUCUUUUCUUUUAAAUCUUCUAUUUUAAUUCCAUAAUUGUCCAUGCUUAUUGUCUUCUGUUUGACUUCAUCUCCCUCAGAAAGUGACAAAGAGAGAGAUGGUGAGUGACAAAGAUAGACCUCUCCGUCCCUCUCUUGCUGUGCCUCCUCUCUUUCUCUUUCCUCCUCCUCUGCUUCCACGAUCCGUUUCUGCUUUUCUUCUCCCCCUUCCCGUCACUCAAUUUCAACUUGUUCUCUGCUCCUCCUCUCUUCUUCUCACUUCCUCCCUCUCUCUCAUAAUCAUAUUCUCUCUCUUAUAUCUCUCUCUCUGUCUCUUGUUCUCCCUCUCUCUUCCCUCCUUCUCCAUGUCAAUUUGAUUCUGUUUCUGUCUAUCUUCUUCUUGUCUCUCUUUCUCUCCUCUUGUUGUUCUUCUGUCUCUAUUUUUUUAUUUUCUUCUUCAUCUAUCUCUCUCUGUGUUUCGAUCUCCCUCUCCUUCCUCUCCCUCUCUCUGUCUCUGAUCCAUUCUCUUUCAUUGGGUCUCUAUCUGUCUCUCUUUCUCCGUCUCUCUUUCUUCCUCGUCCAUAUAAAUAUAUAAAUCUUGCAUAUCUUAAUCAAUUCAAUUGACAAAUAAUACGUUUAAUAUUGUAGGCACUUCCUACGAAUGAUUGUUACCUAUAACAAGGACUGGCAGAACAAAAUCUACGUUUUUGGUAAACAAUUAUUAUUCAUUUUAUAUUACAGCUUGUGAUUCCAUCCUAUACUGUCCCUAACAUCAUUACCCCAUAGCAACAGAUGUGGGAUACAUACACACACUUCACCACACCCCUCCCACACAAAAACGUCUACUCCCCUUCCACCGAUAGACUGACCUACACCUCACAAUACAGACUCUCACACAACCACAAACUUUGAUGUUCAACAAUUGUUCCAUCACUGAGCCCAACUCAAGAGAAGAUUAUAUGUGUGAAUGUGUACAGUUGCAGCUGUUUGAGAAGGCAUGCCAGAUUGAGCAGGAAUGGGAAGAUUUGAUUAACCAAUGUCUAGUCCUAGCUGAUGGAGCUCGGAUACACCCCUUUCCCCCAGUGCACACACACACUGGUCCCCCAUUGUGAAAUCUUCUUCCCACGCACCUCUGUGCAGUCAGACCGUUUGAUUAUUCUGUGCUGCCAAGGCUACAAUAAUAUGCCCCCUCUAUGAUUGUCAGAAUGUGACCCCCUCUUCAUGGGUUACUGCAGUCAGUUUUGCCAUCACUGCCACUACCUGGGUCGGAGUUCCCACCAGCUAUGUACGAGGUCGUCAAGGUUCUCAUUAGCAGCUUUGAGAAAAACCUUGUAUAUUGUGCUCUCCCACUCGGGGGCUUUGGCUUUGUAGGACCAACCCUGCCAAGCAGGCUAAGACUCUUUAGGGAGCAGUGCUGCUUUAGUGGGUCUCUGGUCAAGUUCAUCUUUCUGUCUUGGCUGCAAAGGCUACUUGCAGUAGUCCUAUGAACAAAAGAGUACUUCUCCUUAGUGGGUAUGCCGCUCAGGUGGAUGUGUAGGAUAUAUGGUUGGCAUCGUUCCAUCAUGACAGGAUAAUAAAAAAAAUAAACUAUAUAUUUGUAAUUUAUUUUCAAAUGUAUAUACCAUAUCUGCACAAAAGUGAAGAGUCUCUUGCACAUAUACAACCUCACAUACCCACAUUGUGUGCCUUCUAUGCCCUCUGUUACUGUUCCUACAAGCAUUUCACUACACUUGCAUUAACACCUGCUAACCAUGUGUAUGUGACAAAUAAAUUUGAUUUGAUUUUUAAUGUGUCUUCUAUGUCCUCUGUUCAUUUAACUAAAGGACAGGGCUACCACACACAGGGCUAUCGCAGACAACCCGGAGACUAUGGCAGAGGACAGGACCAAGUACAAGAAGUCUCGCUAUGACCUUCGCAGAAUCAUCCAGCAACAGCACAAUAUAGUAAUAAGGUGGAAUCAUAUCAGACAGGCUCCACCGCCCGCCACAUGUGGGCAGUCCGUUAGCGAUUACAAAGGAAGACCCAGCCUUGACGACGUGUCUCUACCAGACAAACUUAAUCAAAUCAAAGUUUAUUUGUCACGUGCACCGAAUACAACAGGAGUAGACCUUACAGUGAAAUGCUUACUUACAGGCUCUAGGUAAGUAAAGAAAUAAAAAGCGACAGUAAAAAGACAGUGAAAAAUAACAGUAGCGAGGCUAUAUACAUGUAUCAUUGAUGCUGUAACGGACCCUUUGUCAUUGAUGCUGUAACGGCUCCUUCUGUUAUUGAUGCUGUAACAGACCCUUUAUCGACUUUUGUUGACUAUUUUACAGUUUUUCUCAAUUGCUAAAACACUAAAACCCAUUGGCUGAACAAAAUUUUCAGUUGCCUGGACUCAUUUAGCUAAUUAUGCAGUCUGUUGUCAGUACCUUAAACCAUUUCACAUGGUAAAACACAAUUUGCAGAUCUCACUUAGACUUCUCAGCAAAACUCUUAACAUAUUCUAAUUCUCAAAACACAUUCUGCACUCUAAUGCACAUGUCAUCCAUACUGGUAAACACAAGUGUCAACAAUCAAAUACAGAUAGAGAACACAUGUCAUUAAUUGAACACAACCACUCAAAAUUGAUUUAACCUGUUUUCAAAUGAUGCGACACAACCAAUAUAAGCCAGUUCAGAGAGCAAACAGGUUGUUGAAGGUGGGAAGGAGAAAGUCUGAGAAUGGAUAGAAGAAACAAUGUGAGAGGACGAGGACGAGUGCGUAUGCGAGGUGGGCAAUGAGGAGGAAGAGGAGGAGGAGGGCAAGAAAGAGGAAGAGGAGGAUGAAGAGGAAAAGGAAGACAAAGAGUGGAAAUAUCUGAUGAAAUUCGAGCAACAGUUAUAGACCAUGUUCUUGUCCAUGGACUGACAAUGAGGGAAGCAGGACUUAGAGUGCAACCCAAUUUGAGCCGAUUUUCUGUGUCCACCAUAGUAAGGACAUUCAGAGAAGAGAACAGAAUUGCAAGGCUGCCACAUGCAGGUGGAAGGACAGCUAUAUUCACUCGGGAGCAAGAGGCUGUUAUAGUUGGCAUGGUCCUUCAAGAUAAUGCAACACGACUCAGAGAAAUCCAGGAACGAGUGAUACAAAACACACACUUCCAGGGAAUCGACAGUGUGAGCAUUUCCACAAUUGACCGUGUCCUCCAUCGUAACAGGAUGCGAAUGAAACAAGUAUACAGAGUACCUUUUGAGUGCAACUCACCAAGGGUGAAAGAACUGCGAGCUCAGUAUGUGCAAACAAUAUUUGACUUGGAAUCCUUGGACAGACCCCAUGAGUUCAUCUUUGUCGAUGAAGCAGGCUUCAAUCUAACAAAGAGGAGAAGGAGAGGCCGAAACAUGAUUGGACAGCGGGCCAUUGUUGAAGUCCCUGGUCAACGAGGUUGCAAUGUCACAAUCUGUGCUGCUAUCAGCAACCAUGGUGUUCUACAUCACCAUGUUACACUCGGGCCAUAUAACACCUAGCACCUUCUAAGAUUUAUUGCCAAUCUAAGAGAUAUUUUAUUUGAGCAGCAGGUUCAAGAGCAGCAGGGUAAAGAGCUAAAUGAGAAUCCCAUUCCCACCUAUGUGACAGUGUGGGACAAUGUCAGUUUCCACCGAGCUGCUCAGGUAAGGGAAUGGUUUAACAUCAAUGGGCAGUUUAUGAACUUGUACCUCCCUCCAUACUCGCCUUUCCUGAAUCCGAUUGAAUCCGUUUUUCUCCUCUUGGAGAUGGAAAGUGUGUGAUAGACAACCCUACACCAGAGUAAAUCUGCUGCAAGCCAUGGAUUUAGCCUGUGGUGAUAUAGGUGAGGAAUCAUGUCAGGGCUGGA